rnacentral:rRNA from 1 species
GGGCGAAAGCCUGACGGAGCAACGCCGCGUGGGUGAUGAAGGUCUUCGGAUCGUAAAACUCUGUUAUUAGGGAAGAACAUAUGUGUAAGUAACUGUGCACAUCUUGACGGUACCUAAUCAGAAAGCCACGGCUAACUACGUGCCAGCAGCCGCGGUAAUACGUAGGUGGCAAGCGUUAUCCGGAAUUAUUGGGCGUAAAGCGCGCGUAGGCGGUUUUUUAAGUCUGAUGUGAAAGCCCACGGCUCAACCGUGGAGGGUCAUUGGAAACUGGAAAACUUGAGUGCAGAAGAGGAAGGUGGAAUUCCAUGUGUAGCGGUGAAAUGCGCAGAGAUAUGGAGGAACACC